UGAGUAGGCGGCUUCGUAAGUCAUAUGUGAAAGCCUGGUGCUUAACAUCAGGAUUGCAUAAGAAACUAUGAGGCUAGAGUAUGGGAGAGGUAAGCGGAAUUCCUAGUGUAGCGGUGAAAUGCGUAGAUAUUAGGAAGAACACCGGUGGCGAAGGCGGCUUACUGGACCAAGACUGACGCUGAGGCACGAAAGCGUGGGGAGCGAACAGGAUUAGAUACCCUGGUAGUCCACGCUGUAGACGAUGAUUGCUAGGUGUCGGGGUGAGAGCCUCGGUGCCGCAGCUAACGCAAUAAGCAAUCCGCCUGGGGAGUACGUUCGCAAGAAUGAA
rnacentral:rRNA from 1 species